rnacentral:rRNA from 1 species
UACAGAGGGUGCAAGCGUUGUUCGGAAUUAUUGGGCGUAAAGCGCGUGUAGGCGGCUUUGCAAGUCGGGUGUGAAAGCCCUCAGCUCAACUGAGGAAGUGCGCCCGAAACUGGAUAGCUAGAGUACGAAAGAGGGUCGCGGAAUUCCCGGUGUAGAGGUGAAAUUCGUAGAUAUCGGGAGGAACACCGGUGGCGAAGGCGGCGACCUGGGUCGAGACUGACGCUGAGGCGCGAAAGCGUGGGGAGCAAACAGG